rnacentral:snRNA from 1 species
GUGCUAGCUUUGGCAGCACAUAUGCUAAAAAACUGGAAUGAUACAGAGAAGAUCAACAGGGCUCCUGGAUGAGGAUGACACAUAAAUUCAUGAAGAUUCCCAUUAAAAC